rnacentral:rRNA from 1 species
GACGUAGGGCGCGAGCGUUGUCCGGAUUUAUUGGGCGUAAAGAGCUCGUAGGCGGCUUGUCGCGUCGACUGUGAAAAACCCCGCGGCUCAACCGCGGGCCUGCAGUCGAUACGGGCAGGCUAGAGUUCGGUAGGGGAGACUGGAAUUCCUGGUGUAGCGGUGGAAUGCGCAGAUAUCAGGAGGAACACCGGUGGCGAAGGCGGGAUCUCUG